UACGAAGGGGGCUAGCGUUGCUCGGAAUCACUGGCGUAAGGGUGCGUAGGCGGGUCUUUAAGUCAGGGGUGAAAUCCUGGAGCUCAACUCAGAACUGCCUUUGAUACUGAAGAUCUUGAGUUCGGGAGAGGUGAGUGGAACUGCGAGUGUAGAGGUCGAAAUUCGUAGAUAUUCGCAAGAACACCAGUGGCGAAGGCGGCUCACUGGCCCCGAUACUGACGCUGGAGGCACGAAAGCGUGGGGAGCAACAGGAUAGAAACC
rnacentral:rRNA from 1 species